rnacentral:misc_RNA from 1 species
AUUUUCAGAUCAGAAUUAAUCCAGCUGUUUCUCCCACCAAAGCCAAUAUAAUUAAAAAUGUUAAGUUCCAGUGACCAGAAACUUGCUCACAUAGCUCUCCUCCCAAGUGCAGGCAUGGGUCAUCUCACACCCUUCUUUAGGCUUGCUGCUUUACUCGCAGGCAAUAAUAUCAAAGUAACAUUCAUCACUCCUAGUCCAACAGUCUCCUUGGCUGAGUCACAGACCUUAUUUCGCUUCUUCGCUUCCUUUCCGGAAAUCAAUCAAAAGCAGUUUCAUCUCCUUCCUCUUGACAAGCAUCCCUCCAACUCAGAAGACCCUUUCUAUUACCAUAUGGAACGAAUUUGUCAAUCCUCUCACCUUCUUUCUUCCCUGCUUUCUUCACUAUCUCCACCUCUCUCUGCUCUUAUCACAGACAUGAGCUUGGCCUCUCCUGCUAUUUCAAUCACUCAAGCUCUUAAUCUUCCUAAUUAUGUUUUCUUCACAUCAUCUGCUAAAAUGUCAACACUCUUUAUGUCCUUCCAUGCCUUGAUCGAUUCAGAAGCCACAACUGAUUUAGAUGAGAUUGAAGCCAUCAAAAUUCCUGGACUAGAAG